CGUAGGCGGAUUAUUAAACCUAUAGUAAAAGACUGAGGAAGACCCUCUUUGAGCUAUAUUUACUGAUUAUCUUGAGUUUUGAAGGUGGUUUUUUGAAUUCCCUGUGUAGGGGUGAAAUCCGUUGAUAUUUGGAAGACAUUCAGUGGCGAAAGCAUUAACCAAUUCAAAUCUGACGCUAAGGUACUAAAGUAUGGGGAUCAAAAAGGAUUAGAGACCCUUGUAGUCCAUACCUUAAACUAUGAGUGUUCAACGUCUCUAAUCUUACGCCCCGAAUAGUAAUAUUGGGCGUAUUAGGGAUGAUUUAAAGCUAACGCGUGAAACACCGCCUGGGGAAUGUGGCCGCAAGGUUAAACUCAAAGGAAUUGACGGAGACUUAUACAAGG
rnacentral:rRNA from 1 species